AGUGAACGCUGGCGGUAGGCCUAACACAUGCAAGUCGAACGGCAGCACAGUAAGAGCUUGCUCUUACGGGUGGCGAGUGGCGGACGGGUGAGGAAUACAUCGGAAUCUACUUUUUCGUGGGGGAUAACGUAGGGAAACUUACGCUAAUACCGCAUACGACCUACGGGUGAAAGCAGGGGAUCUUCGGACCUUGCGCGAUUGAAUGAGCCGAUGUCGGAUUAGCUAGUUGGCGGGGUAAAGGCCCACCAAGGCGACGAUCCGUAGCUGGUCUGAGAGGACGAUCAGCCACACUGGAACUGAGACACGAUCCAGACUCCUACGGGAGGCAGCAGUGGGGAAUAUUGGACAAUGGGCGCAAGCCUGAUCCAGCCAUACCGCGUGGGUGAAGAAGGCCUUCGGGUUGUAAAGCCCUUUUGUUGGGAAAGAAAAGCAGCAGGUUAAUACCCCGCUGUUCUGACGGUACCCAAAGAAUAAGCAUCGGCUAACUUCGUG
rnacentral:rRNA from 1 species